AGCAGCCGCGGUAAUUCCAGCUCCAAUAGCGUAUAUUAAAGUUGUUGCAGUUAAAAAGCUCGUAGUUGAAUUUCGAGACCGGUUUACUGGUCGUGCUUUUGUACGUACUGGUAUUAUUGGUUUCUCCUUUCUGACGAAUCAUAAUGCCAUUAAUUUGGUGUUUUGGGGAAUCAGGACUGUUACUUUGAAAAAUUAGAGUGUUUAAAGCAGGCUCACGCUUGAAUACAUUAGCAUGGAAUAACGAAAUAGGACGUUUGAUUUUAUUUUGUUGGUUUCUAGGAUCGACGUAAUGAUUAAUAGGGAUAGUUGGGGGCAUUAGUAUUCAAUUGUCAGAGGUGAAAUUCUUGGAUUUAUUGAAGACUAACUACUGCGAAAGCAUUUGCCAAGGAUGUUUUCAUUAAUCAAGAACGAAAGUUAGGGGAUCGAAGACGAUCAGAUACCGUCGUAGUCUUAACCAUAAACUAUGCCGACUAGGGAUCGGAUGAUGUUAAUUUUUUAAUGACUCA
rnacentral:rRNA from 1 species